rnacentral:rRNA from 1 species
CCUACGGGUGGCUGCAGUCGAGGAUCUUCGGCAAUGAGCGCAAGCUUGACCGAGCGACGCCGCGUGCGGGAUGAAGGCCUUCGGGUUGUAAACCGCUUUGGUCCGGGAGUAAGGGUAGCGUAAGCUAUCUUGAACGACCGGAGAAACAAGCACGGGCUAAGUUCGUGCCAGCAGCCGCGGUAAGACGAACCGUGCGAACGUUGUUCGGAAUCACUGGGCUUAAAGGGCGCGUAGGCGGCCGGGUCGGUCGUGGGUGAAAUCCCCCAGCUCAACUG